rnacentral:RNase_P_RNA from 1 species
AGAGGAGAUUGCGUGGUCGCGGGCCUGCGUGCCAGGUCCGAGGAAAGUCCGGACUCCUUGGGAUAGGGUGGCCGCUAACAGCGGCCGGCCGCGAGGCAGGGAAAGUGCCACAGAAAAGAGACCGCUGGAGCGGUCCUGGGAUCGUUCUCAGCAAGGGUGAAAAGGUGAGGUAAGAGCUCACCAGGCUCCCGAGAGAUUGGGGGUGCUGGGCAAACCCCACCCGGAGCAAGACCAAAUAGGAAGGAGCCCGCUGGCGGGCAGGAGUCGCCCCACUCCGUCUUCCGGGUUCGGUCGCUGGAGCAGCACGGCAACGUGCUGCCAAGAGGAAUGACCAUGGUCCCGGUGCGUUACACCGGGGAACAGAAUCCGGCUUACCGAUCUCCUCUCCUC